rnacentral:rRNA from 1 species
AUUGAACGCUGGCGGCAUGCCUUACACAUGCAAGUCGAACGGCAGCGGGCCUUCGGGUGCCGGCGAGUGGCGAACGGGUGAGUAAUGCAUCGGAACGUGCCAUUGAGUGGGGGAUAACGUAGCGAAAGUUACGCUAAUACCGCAUAUUCUGUGAGCAGGAAAGCAGGGGACCGCAAGGCCUUGCGCUCUUUGAGCGGCCGAUGUCAGAUUAGCUAGUUGGUGAGGUAAAGGCUUACCAAGGCGACGAUCUGUAGCGGGUUCUGAGAGGAUGAUCCGCCACACUGGAACUGAGACACGGUCCAGACUCCUACGGGAGCAGCAGUGGGGAAUUUUGGACAAUGGGCGCAAGCCUGAUCCAGCCAUGCCGCGUGAGUGAAGAAGGCCUCGGUUGUAAGCUCUUCGGUCCGGAGAAUCGCAUGGGUUAAUACCC